UGGGGAAUUUUGGACAAUGGGCGAAAGCCUGAUCCAGCCAUGCCGCGUGAGUGAAGAAGGCCUUCGGGUUGUAAAGCUCUUUCGGCCGGAACGAAAUCGUCCGGGUUAAUACCCCGGAUGGAUGACGGUACCGGAAGAAGAAGCACCGGCUAACUACGUGCCAGCAGCCGCGGUAAUACGUAGGGUGCAGGCGUUAAUCGGAAUUACUGGGCGUAAAGCGUGCGCAGGCGGCUUCCUAAGUCAGAUGUGAAAUCCCCGGGCUCAACCUGGGAACUGCGUUUGAAACUGGGAGGCUAGAGUGCGGCAGAGGGGGGUGGAAUUCCACGUGUAGCAGUGAAAUGCGUAGAUAUGUGGAGGAACACCGAUGGCGAAGGCAGCCCCCUGGGCCUGCACUGACGCUCAUGCACGAAAGCGUGGGGAGCAAACAGG
rnacentral:rRNA from 1 species